GACGAACGCUGGCGGCGUGCUUAACACAUGCAAGUCGAACGGAAAGACCCUGCUUUUGUGGGGUGCUCGUGUGGCGCACGGGUGAGUAACACGUGAGUAACCUGCCCUUGUCUUUCGGAUAAAUUCUCGAAACUGGGGCUCAUACCGCAUAGGAGCUCCUGCUGCACGGUGGGGGUUGGAAAGUUUCGGCCGUUGUGGAUGGACUCGCGGGUUAUCAGCUUCUUUGUGGGGUAGUCGCUUACCAAGCCUGUGAGGGGUAGGCGGCCUGAGAGCGUGGACGGGCACAAGGGUACUGAGGGACGGCGCAGAAUCCUACGGGAGGCAGUAGGGGGGAACAUUACACAGUGGGCGGAAGUGUGAUGUGGCGACGCCGGGUGCGGGAUGAUGGCCUUCGAGUGAUAAACCGAUGUCGCCUGUGACGAAGAGAGAGUGACGGUAACGGGUAAGGAAGCACCGGCUAACUACGUG
rnacentral:rRNA from 1 species